UACGUAGGUGGCGAGCGUUGUCCGGAUUUACUGGGCGUAAAGGGAGCGUAGGCGGACUUUUAAGUGAGAUGUGAAAUACCCGGGCUCAACUUGGGUGCUGCAUUUCAAACUGGAAGUCUAGAGUGCAGGAGAGGAGAAUGGAAUUCCUAGUGUAGCGGUGAAAUGCGUAGAUAUUAGGAGGAACACCAGUGGCGAAGGCGGCUUUCUGGACAAUAACUGACGUUGAGGCACGAAAGUGUGGGGAGCAAACAGGAUUAGAUACCCCGGUAGUCCCU
rnacentral:rRNA from 1 species